CAUAAAUUGUUAAUCGUAAUUAUGCUUAUCGAUAUGCUGAUUAAAUUAGAUUUUAAUGAUCAUAGAAAACUCAAACUACAUCGACGUUUUGUUAAAAGAUAACAUUGAGUUAUUACUUUUUUACGAACAACGAACCUUUACAUAUCUUUUUUCAAUCGAAUUUAAAACAUUGUCUUGUUUAUUCUUUUUACAAGAAACAAUAGCAUUGAUUAUAAAAAAAAAGAAAACGGUUCAAUAGUAUCGUUGAAAAGGAGUCAGUCACACGUCGUAUAACGUGGACAACGACAUAUUUCCCCUACCCUUGUUCAUCCGCACAUUGUGGCGGCAGCAGCAGCAACAGAAACAUCAGCGACAGCAACGCAACAGUCGACAGUAAAGCAUGGUACAGAAAAGCUGUAAAUGAAUGCUGAAAAUCUAAUUUUGGAAAUAUUACAAAAUUCUUCUUGAUUUUAACAACCACGUACAUAAAAUAGCCGAUCGAACAACGAGAACGAUGACGACAACGACAACGACGACGACGAGGAAGAAGACUCUAUAACGAACACCAAAUCAGGGGGGGGGAUGUUUUCAGCUAGGUUAGUAGCGCGUUACUAGCGUUCGUCGAAUGAGUAGCACGUAUAUAGGGGUGGAGCAGAAGAGCCACCCGGAACGGCUGGGGUGGUAAUCGUUACUCCCGUCUACCAGCCUGUCUACCGACCCUUUACUGGACUCUGAACGUUUCACCUCUAACAGAGACACUACCUCUCACCAAAGACACCAACCAACAUCGCAGCAAACCCAUACCAACCAUCCAACCAACCAACUCACCCCUCUCGAGAAACGCGCGCUCGCUCGCUGAUUUUCUCGAGCUUCUUUUUCUCAAACUUCAACAAUCCAUUCUCCUUCCUUUUUCAACCCCCCACCCCUUUGUACUCCUCCUCCUUCACCCCCACUACCAACGCGCAACUGCUUCAAGCGCGAUGGAAGAAAAUAUCGACCGGGGAGCCCUUUUGGCGCGCACCGCGCCACCGAAGAUGCGAAACACGCUCCUUUCUCGACAUUCCGAAUACGGAAACUUCGAGAAUGGUGCUGCCAUCAUUGGAGUUUUCAUUCAAGUCCUGUUUAUGAAAGAAAAGCCCCCCCCCCUGACGCCUGCGCAAAUCUUCUUUACACGGAUUUUGUCAUUCUUCGAAAACAUCAAACUACUACGAACUCUCGGGAUAAAAAUGUCUCAUGUGAACAUUGGAAAAAUAAAUAAAGUUUUCGCGUUAAAAGUAAAAACUGUUAAUAAAAACUGGUCAAUUACUUUUUAUUAGAAAAUUGACACCUUUUUUUAUCAAAAUUCUAUUAUCAAGACUAUAAAUUCGACGGAUACAUUUUUUUCAAUUAGACUAUUAAUUGUUAACAGGUUUGACAAUAAUUCUAUAUCUUUGAAUUAGAUCAUUUUUCACAGUUAGCAGUGUGCAUUGGCCUUGAAAUUGUUUAAUGUUUUAUCCCUUGCACAUAAAAAAAAUCUUAACGCAUUUCUUUCAAACUAGCGAUUAACUUUUCUGAAGGAAUAUAAUUUUAUUUGUAAGAAAAUACGAGAGCUGUGAUUGUAUAAAGAUAUUAUUAAAACGAGUUCCUCAAAUGAAUUAAAUUAAACGCUUUUCACUCGCAUAUUUUCGCUCAAGUGAGAACAAAUCUUGAUCGCGAUCUGGUCACUUAAAUGUACAAAUUAAUCUUGACACGAGAUAAAAAAAUCUAGGUUGAUAGAACUACAUAUGUAAUAGAUGUAUUACAGUUAUUUUACAAAUACAUAUAUAUAUGAUAGAUAACGAGGAUGAAUUGAACGAGUUGGACGACUAUCAGGUAUAUUGGUCGCAGAAGCUGGAAAGGUCACUCUUUCGCGCAACUUGUACGGACCAGUUUGCCUCUAUGCCCUCUAUUUCCUUGAAGUACUCUCUCCCAUCAUCUUCCAGUUUCUACUCUUACAGUUUUCUCAAUCAUAGUAUGCUAGGAAUACAUAUACAUAUACCAAUAAAUAUGUGUUGGGUUGCCCUAUUAAUAGUUCACGUUAGAAACAAAAUAUUUUUAAAUAAAUUAGCAAUACAUAUCUACAUAUACCAAUAAAUAUGCGUUGGAUUGCCGUAAUUCAUUGUAAAAAAAAGGAAGAAAAUAUUUUUAGUACAAAAAUUUCUCAUCGAUAAGACUACUACUCUCCAAGAUAUUAUUAAAAAGGUAAUCAUGGUUGCUAAUUGGAGAAAAAAAAAAUAAUAUAAAAUAUAUUUAAAAAAAGAAAGUCUGAACUCGUAACU
rnacentral:lncRNA from 1 species